GGAAACGCUGCCGUUUAAAGAGACAGAGGAGGAAUUUCGGGCGAAAGGCUGAGACAACGAAAACAGCUGCGAGCACACCAAAAAAAAAAAGGACAGGCACAGAGAGAGAGGAAGGGGACGUAGCUUAGUCAGUCGACAAGCGAGCUAUGUGGCAGGACAGAGUGGGAGGACGAGACUGAAAUUGACCGAGUGUUUCAUCAGAUACACGGCUAGCUGUACGUGGCUAACGAGUUUUAGCUUCGAAUUUUGGCGUUUUUCACGGUAGCUACCUGGAAACCGACAAAGCAUCACUGAACACGGCAGGGAGAUAAAAGGCCAAACUCCCAGACGACAGAGACGCGUCACUUCAGACUCCUUGAGUCCACCUUUUGUUUUUAAUAAGCCACCCCCCAUCUCUCUGUCUGGGAGAAAGCAGUGGGCUUUGUCCUCAGCUGAGUGUGACGUCAUGCAGAUCUUUGCUGUAACCAACCCUGAAGGAGAGACACACUGCACAAUGUUGGGAUCAAGGCUCUGUGAAGGCCAUGCCAUCUGGUGCAGAACCAUUUGUUU
ensembl:lncRNA